AGAGAUGUUGGAAGAAGCUCAAAGGCUUGUAGGAUUGAGGGGGCCUGUCUCCAUACUUGCCCACCUUCAUUGCAAGGAUCUCACUAUCACCAUCAUCGGGCAGCCCUGAUGGUGAAAAUCCUCUGUGUGGAGCUGAAAUCUCUGGCCAUUGCUCUCGGCUACAGGGCCGAGGAGGCCCCAGCUAGCGGCCUAAGGGAGGGAAGCCAGGCCAACCCUACUGGCCUUCUCUCCCACCAGUGCCCACCCCGGGCUGGAGCUGUUUCCAAGCUGCAUGGAGGCCUGCUCUUGCCCAUCGGACGGCUUUAACCCUGUCUGUGACCCCAGCACUCGUGUGGAAUACAUCACACCCUGCCACGCAGGCUGCUCAAGCCGGGUGGUCCGGGAUGCUCUGGACAAAAGCCAGGUUUUCUACACCAACUGCAGCUGUGUGGCGGAGGGCAACCCCGUGCUGGCAGGAUCCUGCGACUCAACCUGCAGCCACCUGGUGGUGCCCUUCCUGCUCCUGGUCAGCCUGGGCUCGGCCCUGGCCUGUCUCACCCACACACCCUCCUUCAUGCUCAUCCUAAGGUGAAGGUGGGGG
rnacentral:sRNA from 1 species